UGGGGAAUAUUGCACAAUGGGCGCAAGCCUGAUGCAGCCAUGCCGCGUGUAUGAAGAAGGCCUUCGGGUUGUAAAGUACUUUCAGCGAGGAGGAAGGCGUUGUAGUUAAUAACUGCAGCGAUUGACGUUACUCGCAGAAGAAGCACCGGCUAACUCCGUGCCAAGCAGCCGCGGUAAUACGGAGGGUGCAAGCGUUAAUCGGAAUUACUGGGCGUAAAGCGCACGCAGGCGGUCUGUCAAGUCGGAUGUGAAAUCCCCGGGCUCAAGCCUGGGAACUGCAUUCGAAACUGGCAGGCUAGAGUCUUGUAGAGGGGGGUAGAAUUCCGAGGUGUAGCGGUGAAAUGCGUAGAGAUCUGGAGGAAUACCGGUGGCGAAGGCGGCCCCCUGGACAAAGACUGACGCUCAGGUGCGAAAGCGUGGGGGAGCAAACA
rnacentral:rRNA from 1 species